GAUGAACGCUGGCGGCGUGCCUAACACAUGCAAGUCGAGCGAAGCGGGGACGCGUGUGUAACACGUGGAUAACCCCCUAUAAGACUGGGAUAACUUCCGGAAACCGUUGCCAAUCCGGAUACUUAUAGAUGGAGCCGUGCUGCAUUAGCUAGUUGGUAAGGUAACGGCUAACCAAGUCAACGAUGCAUAGCCGACCAGAGAGGGUGAUCAGCCACGCUGGAACUGAGCCACGGUCCAGACUCCUACGGGAGGCAGCAGUGGGGAAUCUGCCACAAUGGGCGGAAGCCUGACGGAGCAACGCCGCGUGUGUGAAGAAGGUCUUCGGAUCGUAAAACUCUGUUAUUAGGGGAGCGGUACCUGAUGAGGAAGCCACGGCUAACUACGUGCCAGCAGCCGCGGUAAUAC
rnacentral:rRNA from 1 species